GAUGAAGAACGCAGCGAAAUGCGAUAAGUAAUGUGAAUUGCAGAAUUCAGUGAAUCAUCGAAUCUUUGAACGCACAUUGCGCCCCCUGGUAUUCCGGGGGGCAUGCCUGUCCGAGCGUCAUUACAACCCUCAAGCUCAGCUUGGUGUUGGGCCCCGCCGCCCCGGCGGGCCCUAAAGUCAGUGACGGUGCCGUCCGGCUCCGAGCGUAGUAAUUCUUCUCGCUCUGGAGGUCCGGUCGUGUGCUCGCCAGCAACCCCCAAUUUUUUUCAGGUUGACCUCGGAUCAGGUAGGGAUACCCGCUGAACUUAAGCAUAUCAAUAAGCGGAGGA
rnacentral:misc_RNA from 1 species